rnacentral:rRNA from 1 species
GAUGAACGCUGGCGGCGUGCCUAAUACAUGCAAGUCGAGCGAACAGAUGAGGAGCUUGCUCCUCUGACGUUAGCGGCGGACGGGUGAGUAACACGUGGAUAACCUACCUAUAAGACUGGGAUAACUUCGGGAAACCGGAGCUAAUACCGGAUAAUAUAUUGAACCGCAUGGUUCAAUAGUGAAAGACGGUUUUGCUGUCACUUAUAGAUGGAUCCGCGCCGCAUUAGCUAGUUGGUAAGGUACGGCUUACCAAGGGAACGAAGCGUAGCCGACCUGAGAGGGUGAUCGGCCACACUGGAACUGAGACACGGUCCAGACUCCUACGGGAGGCAGCAGUAGGGAAUCUUCCGCAAUGGGCGAAAGCCUGACGGAGCAACGCCGCGUGAGUGAUGAAGGUCUUCGGAUCGUAAAACUCUGUUAUUAGGGAAGAACAAAUGUGUAAGUAACUAUGCACGUCUUGACGGUACCUAAUCAGAAAGCCACGGCUAACUACGUG